UGAGGAAUAUUGGUCAAUGGACGAGAGUCUGAACCAGCCAAAUCGCGUGAAGGAAGACUGCCCUACGGGUUGUAAACUUCUUUUGUACAGGAAUAAAAGACAUUACGUGUAAUGUAUUGCAUGUACUGUACGAAUAAGCAUCGGCUAACUCCGUG
rnacentral:rRNA from 1 species